UACGAAGGGGGCUAGCGUUGUUCGGAAUUACUGGGCGUGAAGCGCGUGUAGGCGGGUCUUUAAGUCAGGGGUGAAAUGCCAAGGCUCAACCUUGGAACUGCCUUUGAUACUGGAGACCUUGAGUCCGGGAGAGGUGAGUGGAAUUGCGAGUGUAGAGGUGAAAUUCGUAGAUAUUCGGAAGAACACCAGUGGCGAAGGCGGCUCACUGGCUCAUACUGGACGCUGAGGUGCGAAAGCGUGGGGAGCAAACAGG
rnacentral:rRNA from 1 species